rnacentral:rRNA from 1 species
GAUGAACGCUGGCGGCGUGCCUAAUACAUGCAAGUCGAGCGAACGGACGAGAAGCUUGCUUCUCUGAUGUUAGCGGCGGACGGGUGAGUAACACGUGGAUAACCUACCUAUAAGACUGGGAUAACUUCGGGAAACCGGAGCUAAUACCGGAUAAUAUUUUGAACCGCAUGGUUCAAAAGUGAAAGACGGUCUUGCUGUCACUUAUAGAUGGAUCCGCGCUGCAUUAGCUAGUUGGUAAGGUAACGGCUUACCAAGGCAACGAUGCAUAGCCUACCUGAGAGGGUGAUCGGCCACACUGGAACUGAGACACGGUCCAGACUCCUACGGGAGGCAGCAGUAGGGAAUCUUCCGCAAUGGGCGAAAGCCUGACGGAGCAACGCCGCGUGAGUGAUGAAGGUCUUCGGAUCGCAAAACUCUGUUAUUAGGGAAGAACAUAUGUGUAAGUAACUGUGCACAUCUUGACGGUACCUAAUCAGAAAGCCACGGCUAACUACGUG